rnacentral:tmRNA from 1 species
GGGGGUGAUCGGUCUCGACUUGUGUUCGUCGGGUAUAGGUCGCGUGUCGAGGAAGCUUGGUAGGCCUCGUAAAAUAAUCUAAGCAAAAAUUAAACGCUAACGAAAAACCGUUAAUGUUCAGCGAUUUCGAAGCCGCUGUUGCUAAGAGCCCAGUUGCACCGGUUCCUAUGCCAAUGGCCUUCGGGCUCGCUGUCUAAGCCUUAGUUACACCGUAACUAAGCCCGUUUACUUGCAACACCUGCUAGUAAGAUAAGCGGUCAAGAGCAGGCUGGCUUCAAUGUUUGUCUUCGGCGUUGAAGCGAGAUCGUAGAGGGCUAGUCCCAAAACAAUCCUGUUUGCCGGAGGGUGAGGGACGAGACAAAAAUAGACAAACUACACAUGUAGAAGCUUAUAUUACGAGACUCAAGGACCCGGGUUCAAUUCCCGGCACCUCCACCA